rnacentral:lncRNA from 1 species
AAAGUUCAUAUAUAUAAAAAAUUUAUAAAAAUUUGAAAAAGAUUCAUGUUUAUUUUUACAGUUUUAAUGAGAAAUUUACACUGUUAUGGUUAAUUUUUAUGUGAACCAAAUCUUCCCAUUCUCCGAUGCCUUUUCCCCUUAAAUCCCCACUUUAAGGGGAUAGGUGAAAUUAUCAAAUUAAGUGAAGUUAUAUGUUAGAAAGCUGCACAUGGCUUUUGGACUGUAAGUAUUGUAUUUCAGGUCUAUUACUGCAUUCCAUUACAUUUCAUAACUUGUUAGGGAGAAUGUGUUUGAUAAAAUAAAAUUUUCAAACAACUAAGAAAUGAUUGAUUUGAGUGACUGACAAUUUGAGUCACAUAUAAAAUAUGCAAGUAAGGUUGAGUUCUUAAUGUCCCCUAUAAUGGGCUGUAAAGGCAAUGAGUAUCUUGUAACUUUAGGUUAAUUGUACACAGUGAGAAGACUUUAAAUAUCUUAGAUGUAAGAUUUUCCUGUUUGUUACUCUUUUUUGGGGGGAGUGGUGCUGGGGAUCGAACUCAGGACCUUGCGCUUGCCAGGAAGGUGUGGUGCCACUGAGCUACAUCCCCGGCCCUGUUACUCUUUUAUGAUUAAAAAUCCCAAAAUUUUGCCAUCUUAUUUUUUAGCUACAUGAGCUUUACAAUUUCACUUGAUCAUUUAGUUCCUACCUAAAAGGCUUUGACUUUAACUAGCUUCUCUUAACUGGCAUUUUGAAAAUUUGACAGUAGUUAUAUUUAUUCAUGCUUUACAUUUUUAAUCCCUUUUUAUGUGCCCACACACACAGUUGUUCUCGUGAAGGUUUGGAGGAAAGGCAAUAGUACCUUUUUUCCUUUUCUUUUGAUUUCUUAGUUUCCAAAUGACUGACACUAAUCAUUUAGUCAUCUGUAAGCUGUGGAACUUAUUCUCGACAAUGAGAAAUUUUAAGUUAUCUGUUCCAUAAUUAAGUGAAAGUAACCUGUUUUGGAAAAAGAUAGCCUUUUGAUUCUUGUUUCAUAAUCAUUACAUGCAUAUUUAUGGUUUACAAAGACUCGGUAGAGAAAGGUCAAGUCCGGAAAGCAUCUCCAUGCCAGUGCUUUACAGUACUGUGCUGUGUAUCAGCUCAGGUGUCCACGGAACAGGAAUGUAGAAAGCUAGCCCUUAACUUUAAUCGCACUUUUAUGCUUCAUUUUUCUUCCUAUCAAAUCUUUUGCACUACAUAUAAAAUAAAAUUAUUACUUGAUUUCCCUUCUUUUGGAUCUGUAAUAUUUUCAAAAGCAGCUAGUUAGCACCUGUAUGCUAAUAUUACUUAAUGUAUUUCUGCAUAUUUCAUUUUUUAAAAAAUCUUCUGCCUUGUUGAGACAGUGGAAUAUUUCUUGAUGGAUGUAAGGACCAAAGGAGCCAUUUUUCCAGUUAAGCAAGUAUUAUGGCAAAGGACCAAAUGAUUAAAAGGGUGCAUUUAUUUAGCUUCUCCGUGUGAAGUAUCGCCUUGGUGGGUUCAGUACUGCCUGUAUUACCAUUCAUCUUCAUACUGGGCGAAGCAAACUAGAAGAGAACGCAUCACAUUUUCCCCUUAUCCGAAGAGAAAAAAAUGAUAAAAUGAAUGAUCAUCUGAAUUUUAAUUUUCAGUAAGUAGCUGAAAAAUCUUGUCUGUUGGACAUAUGAGGCUACUGCCUAGUUAAAAUACCUAACAUUCCGUGAAUGCCAGUAAAAAAGAAGUAGUCUGGCAAUAAUUUCAAAAUUUUCCUAAGUUCUGAUUUUCAAUUACAAAGAAAAAGUGGGUAGAAUGUGGCUGUUCAAGGAAUUCUUACACUCCCCCUUCAAUCUGGCAGGCAAUAAACAGAGUUCUAGAAUUCAGGCUUCCUUUUUGAUUUCAUUACUAUUAAAUACUAUUAAAUACUUUCAUAUGAAUGGUAACAUUUUUCCUCAAAAUAUUAAUUCAAAACAUACUCCUUAUAUUAAGGAUUAUGUAAUGAAAUUUUUGUAAAUUUCCUGUGUGUAACAUUUUCCUGUUGGUAUGUGAUCCUUUUCAUCUAAUUUGAUUAUCUGCUGGUGUUGGGGCCAAUAGAUUUGUGAAUAUUCUGUGGAUGUGUACAUGUGUAAGUGUAUAUAUGCAUUUUUUUUCCAGCUAAUACCUCAGAUACGUGAUUGUUUAAUAUAUACCACAGUAUGUUUGCACAGAACAGGGCUUCCAUUAGUAAUGGGUAUCCUUAUUUCCAAAUUUGAAAAUCAGUCCACAGAAUUUCAUUAGUGUGAAUUCUCUCUGUUGAUUUUAAUAGAGAUUUCUUUUUUAAGGCCCACACUUCAAAAAUAACUUUAUCUUUCUAGCAAUCUGGAACUACAUUAGGGUAAGAAGUGUUUCUUGGAAUGUCUUAGUUCAUGAGUGUCUGAGAAUGACCAGCUGUGGAGAUAUUGAGUCACUGAGGAACAGAUGAUUCCUGGCAGGAGGUGGGCAGUUUUUAUCCACGUGUCUGUGAGAUUCUGCCCAUUCUAGUCAGCCUGCCACUCAUGAGCACUGUGCAAACAGUGACACUGAGGUAUUCCAGCCAUUACUUUUGGAGAAUUGUUUCUGAGUUGAAUGACUAUAAGGAUUAGAAGAAAAAAAUAUUUUGUAAUUCAUUUGCAUUAAGAAAUGCUUCUUACCUUUUUCUGUCUUUUUGGUUUUUAAAUUGCUUCGUAAGACUUUCUGUCCAUUUAAAGGUUAGUUUUAGUUUAUGUGUUUUUAAAAGCUACAGGAAAUUUUCACGGCGUGAUGGAAUUUUAAUGGAAGCCUUAUAUAAGCUAAAUGAAGUGAAAUGUAAAGGAGAUCUUACUUUGUCUAUAGUGCAUUCAAGAUUAUAUAAUUAGGUUUAAAAAUGCAAUGUCUGAUUUGUAAACUAAUGUUAUAUCAGACUUCUAUAAAAUAAAAUUUCCUGUGUGAGAACAUUUUUAAUGAAUGUUCUACUGAAUGAUUUAUGAUGAAUUUUUGUCUUUAA